AAAGACUUCAUUUUUCAGUUUUUGGAUACAACGUUUUGAUUCUUCGUCUUAUUUAAAAAAUACUCUAUGAUUAGUAUUUUUAUUGUUAUUGAAUGAUAAAACAUAAAUAGUACUUUAUACGUGGCUAAUUUUUUUUUAUUUUUUUCAUAAAAUUUAAAAAAAAGGACGGACGGUUAAAUAUUGGACACAAAAACCUAAAAUUAGA
rnacentral:pre_miRNA from 1 species